rnacentral:rRNA from 1 species
CCCUUAGAUGUCCUGGGCUGCACGCGCGCUACACUGACGAACUCAACGAGCUUAUCACCUUGGCAGAGAUGUCUGGGUAAUCUUUUGAAAGUUCGUCGUGCUGGGGAUAGAUGAUUGUAAUUAUUCGUCUUGAACGAGGAAUUCCUAGUAAGUGUGAGUCAUCAGCUCGCGCUGAUUACGUCCCUGCCCUUUGUACACACCGCCCGUCGCUCCUACCGAUUGAAUGGUCCGGUGAGGUCCUCGGAUUUUUUCUGUUGUUUGGUUCGCUAAACGAUUGAAGAGAGAAGUUACCCAAACCUUACCAUUUAGAGGAAGGAGAAGUCGUAACA